AUACUUACCUGGCAGGGAAGAUACCAUGGUCUAGAUGGUGGAUCUUCAUAACUGAGGCUUAACCACUGCAUUCCCGGUUGAACUAAUGUUGACAAGUUGUCCAAAUGCGGGAAUCUUUACUGUGUAAUUUCUAGUAGUAGAGGUCUGCGCUUGCGCUCUCCCCUG